GACGUGGGGGGCCAGCGUUGCUCGGAAUUAUUGGGCGUAAAGGGUAGGUAGGUGGUCUCAUUUGUCAGGGGUGAAAGCCUUGGGCUUAACCCAAGAAGUGCCCCUGAAACGGUGAGACUCGAGUCCUGGAGAGGUGAGUGGAAUUCCCGGUGUAGCGGUGAAAUGCGUAGAGAUCGGGAGGAACACCAGAGGCGAAGGCGGCUCACUGGACAGGUACUGACACUCAACUACGAAAGCGUGGGGAGCAAACAGG
rnacentral:rRNA from 1 species